rnacentral:lncRNA from 1 species
GUGACUUGAGACCUUGGAAUUCAUCUAAUACAUAUGAAUUUGGACUUCUCUAUGAAGACUUGGCUUGGUUACUUUGGGUUCAUCUGAUGCAUGAAUUAUGGUUUGCUUAUUCUGGCUUGCUUGAGGCUUAAUCCAAAGGAAGGAAAUCUUGUUUGACUUAUGUCAUAAAGCUUGUUAUCUCUUGGUUAGAUCUUUCCUCCUUAGUUUUUACUUUAUGCUUUAGGAUAGUCUCUUCUUCU